UAACAGUGAUAACAGCAACAGCAAGGGAAGGGAAUGCAUAAUCGCAUGUAAAAUCCGAAUUUGAAAGUAAGCAUGACACUUUCUUUUCUAAGUUCGUUCAAAAGCGUUAGAUUUUUAUUUUAGCAUUUUAGCUCUGCCUAAGAUCAUUCACAUAAUCAGUUAAAAAUGAUGAUCGAGUGUUGUUGACAGCAUUCAGUGUGUUUCUCUCUUGCAAGCUUGCAUAUACUUCUUUUUUCCCAUCCUUAUCAGUCUCAGAACUAGCUUCUGAAUAUUUUAUCGAGAAAUGGAACAUCUACAUGAAGCCUCUUCCAAAGCAUCUUUUCAUAACUAUUCUGGUCCAAGUACAAAGAUGAGCAAGUUCCGGAAAUUUGUCGAAGAAGCGAAGAGAAUUGUCAUUUUAACUGGAGCUGGUGUAUCAGCAGAAUCAGGUAUACCAACAUUCAGAGGAGCUGGAGGAUUUUGGCGAACAUAUCAAGCUCAAGACUUGGCAUCUCCAAAAGCUUUUCAUCGGUCUCCAUCAUUAGUAUGGGAAUUCUAUCAUUACAGGCGUGAACUAGUGCUAACAAAAAAACCAAACAAGGCUCACAUUGCGAUUGCUAAUUAUGAAAAAGCAUUGGAAGGGAACCCUGAUCGCACGCUUACAGUCAUAACACAGAACAUAGAUAAUAUGCAUCAAGCUGCAGGAUCCAAGAAUGUUGUCGAGUUGCAUGGCAAUCUGUUCAAAACCAAAUGCCUCAAGUGUGGAGACGUAGCUUGGAAUGCCGACAGUCCCAUCUGUCCUGCGCUCAAAGAUAGAGGUUGCCCGGAUCCUGAUUACAAAAAUUUAGAGCCAAUUCCUGAGAAAGAUCUUCCCCACUGUAAAAAACCGAAGUGUGAUGGACUCCUAAGGCCUUUUGUUGUUUGGUUUGGUGAAGGUUUGGAUCCCAAAGUCCUCCAAAAAGUUGAUCAAAUAUUGCAAGACUGUGAUUGUUGUUUGGUUAUCGGCACAUCUUCUGUCGUUUAUCCUGCCGCCAUGUUUGCACCCCAAUUGGCAAAGAGAGGAGUGUGUGUCGGAGAAUUCAACAUUGAGGCUUCUGCUGCAACGAAUGCUUUUCAAUUUUAUUUUGAAGGCCCGUGUUCUAAAACUGUCCCAGUGGCUCUCGGAUUUGAAGAUGAAGAAUAACACUCAAUCAGAAUUGGUGAGAUCAUAAUUCGCAACUGAAUCUUCUAUGAAAGUUGUGGAGGAGGGUGUCCAAGACUCACCGUGGAAUACUGACAACAGUCUGGACCUGCUCAGGCAGAGUCUUGAGCAGAAUUUUUCUGUUAAGUUUUGUUUUAUCCCUGCAUAAUGCUCUGGGCAAAGAGGAAAAUGAUUUCAAGAAGAAAAUAAGAGAAGAGAAGUAUGCCCUUGACCUGGUUAGCAGUUGCUUGGCAAUAUUUCCAUGAUAUUUUUUUAAUUGUUUGGUGUAUUUUCCAAAAACUCCGACAUAAUGCUACACAUUUUCAUGUUUCUUUUUUUUGUAUCAUGAGAACUUGCCGUUAAAACUUUUUUUCGAAUAGUGUUCUUAAAUUCAUUGCAAUAAUAUUUUGUGUGUUUAUCCAUCUGUUACCAAGAUGCUCUACCAUUUAAAAAGUAAGAAUUGUCUCAGAAACUGUUGUUACUUUACUGACUUGUGAUCUUCUUUUAUUUCUCUAAUAAUCACAUUCUCAUUUUUCAUAUCAGAAAAAA